UUAAGUUUGUAUGUGGGCAGAUGGUGGAAGCAACCCAAAAAUUGAAGUGGGAGAAAAACUUGCUAGCUUUUCUGAGUUAGCUCUUUACUGAAAAUCCCUUAGGAUCAAAUGUAUUUAAUAUACAUGGGAUGUUAAGUACUAAGUAGACCUCUUUUUGUAUGGACAAGCUCUAGUCUUAAUUAGUUUGGAUUUGUUUAUCAUCUAUUAAUAUUAUUAAGUAAAGGUUUGUCGUUUGUAAUGUAAUUAUUGUUUUUGUUUUAAAUAUAUUGUCGUUUUUUGGAUCAAACAUUUAUGAUUGUCAAAUGAGAAACAUUGUCGUUGAUAGUUGUUUUUUUGUCAUUUUGGGACUAAAAUGUUACUGUCGUUUGUAAAUGGCUGGGGUGUUCAAAAUUUUCACAUAAAAUUAAUAGAGAAAUUUACACUAAGUGGUUUUUUUUUCCAAUAUUAAACAUUUAUGCUUGCUCUAUCUUUUUUUUACUUUGGGGUUUUUUCUUUAAUACUAUUUACAAAGUUUGAUAUUUACAAUUAUACAAUUUAUACUAUUUUUCCUUCUUCCUCCUAUUCACACAGAUCCACUUCAAAAGGCAACCAUCUCCACCAUUUCCAUCUCACAUCCAACCUCUCUCGAUCGUCUCCAGCUCUCUUGUCCCAGCCCUCGAUGUCAAGCAAAACAUCUACUCAACCUUCUAUGUUGUGGUCUAGGGAGAAAGAGAGACUUUUUUCAGAUUUAUUUCCCUCUUGAUCAAGCCAUCUCCCUCUUUUUCAAACUUAUUUUUAGUGCUAUUAAUAUUUUUUGAAGCUUCGAUUUUUGAAUGCAAGAAACUUGACUUCCAGUGAUGAUGUACUUAAAUGUUGAUCAGAAUAGGCUUGUAAUCUAUUUCUAUUCCUUUGAUAGAAUGAAGUGAGUUACAUACAUUAAAAGUGUACACGAAAAUAUUUCAAUCUUCCAAGAAGGUUCAAGCUAUUGUGCAUAGAUUUUGUUAUGCAUUGAAGAGUAAUAUUUUUUAAGAAACAUUGUUUUGCUGUUGAUUUUACAUAUAUCUUGCAUGUGAUAUUGAACAUUAUAAUUUUA